AAUUUUUUAAAAGCGCCAGGACUAUGCAUCCGAUCGGCAAGAAGCAUAGUUGACGAGGUUGGAGGUUAUCGAACGUUCGGCGGGUGCCUCCCGAUUGUACAUCUCAAUUGUCAAGCUCUUCCUUAAAACAAUGAGGCAACUUAUUGGCCAAAGGGAAACGGCAAGAUGUUAC
rnacentral:ncRNA from 1 species